rnacentral:rRNA from 1 species
CCUGGUGCCCAUAGCGGGGAGGAAACACCCGGUCUCCAUUCCGAACCCGGCAGUUAAGCUCCCCAGCGCCGAUAAUACUGGCCGGGAAACCGGUCGGAAACGUAGGUCGGUGCCAGGG